UUUUACCGGAAAAUCGGCCAAUACAUACAUAACCUAAUAAUGAGUGUUCAAUUCAUACCCAAUAUUUUUCUAUAUGCAAAUACGUACUUAAUCUUUUGACAUAUUUAAAUUGCAUACCUAAAGUUAUCAAAUUGUAUGAAGUCAUACAUAUUGCUGACAUGGAUGCCACGUCUUUGAUGAUGUUGAUGACGUGGUAGCCAUGUCAUCAUCUUUCAUAAAAAAAAAAUCUCUCCUCCUCUCCAUUAAUGUUAUCCAACAAAACUGUGAUUUUUUAUGUAAAGAUUUAAAAUCUUGUUUUCAAAAUUUAGAACGAUUAUUUCAACCGAAUCUAAUAUUUAAAAGAUUAUAAAUCCAAAACUCACAAUUUCUCUUCAAAAAAUC
rnacentral:lncRNA from 1 species